rnacentral:rRNA from 1 species
AUGGGUGAGACCUGAUGCCGAGCCGAUUGUGGUGAAGUGGAUGAUCCUGUGCUGUCGAGAAAAGCCUCUAGCGAGUUUUGUGGCGGCCCGUACCCUAAACCGACUCAGGUGGUCUGGUAGAGAAUACCGAGGCGUUCGGGUGAACUAUGGUUAAGGAACUCGGCAAAAUGCCCCCGUAACUUCGGGAGAAGGGGGGCCAUUUCUGGUGAUAGGACGUGCUCCUUGAGCUGGGGGUGGCCGCAGAGACCAGCGAGAAGCGACUGUUUACUAAAAACACAGGUCCGUGCGAAGCCGUAAGGCGAGGUAUACGGACUGACGCCUGCCCGGUGCUGGAACGUUAAGGGGACCGGUUAGUCACAUUUCGGUGUGGUGAAGCUGAGAACUUAAGCGCCAGUAAACGGCGGUGGUAACUAUAACCAUCCUAAGGUAGCGAAAUUCCUUGUCGGGUAAGUUCCGACCUGCACGAAUGGCGUAACGACUUCUUGACUGUCUCAACCAUAGGCCCGGUGAAAUUGCACUACGAGUAAAGAUGCUCGUUUCGCGCAGCAGGACGGAAAGACCCCGGGACCUUUACUAUAGCUUGAUAUUGGUGUUCGGUUCGGCUUGUGUAGGAUAGGUGGGAGACUGUGAUCAGGGCACGCCAGUGUUCUGUGAGUCGUUGUUGAAAUACCACUCUGGUCGUGCUGGAUGUCUAACCUGGGUCCGUGAUCCGGAUCAGGGACAGUGUCUGGUGGGUAGUUUAACUGGGGCGGUUGCCUCCUAAAGAGUAACGGAGGCGCCCAAAGGUUCCCUCAGCCUGGUUGGUCAUCAGGUGGUGAGUGUAAGUGCACAAGGGAGCUUGACUGUGAGACUGACGGGUCGAGCAGGGACGAAAGUCGGGACUAGUGAUCCGGCGGUGGCUUGUGGAAGCGCCGUCGCUCAACGGAUAAAAGGUACCCCGGGGAUAACAGGCUGAUCUUCCCCAAGAGUCCAUAUCGACGGGAUGGUUUGGCACCUCGAUGUCGGCUCGUCGCAUCCUGGGGCUGGAGUCGGUCCCAAGGGUUGGGCUGUUCGCCCAUUAAAGCGGUACGCGAGCUGGGUUUAGAACGUCGUGAGACAGUUCGGUCCCUAUCCGCUGCGCGCGUAGGAGUCUUGAGAAGGGCUGUCCCUAGUACGAGAGGACCGGGACGGACGGACCUCUGGUGUGCCAGUUGUUCUGCCAAGGGCAUGGCUGGUUGGCUACGUUCGGGAAGGAUAACCGCUGAAAGCAUCUAAGCGGGAAGCCUGCUUCGAGAUGAGGACUCCCACCAACUUGAUUGGUUAAGGCUCCCUGGAGAUGACGGGGUUGAUAGGCCGGAUCUGGAAGCCCUGUAAGGGGUGGAGGUGACCGGUACUAAUAGGCCGAGGGCUUGUCCAU